CAAGAACAGAGAGUCAAAGUGUGAGGGAUGGAAAGUUGGCAAAGCGCAAACGAUGUGAUAUUCACUCCUCGGGCACUAUGGAACGCUUCUGUGAGAUCCGCCGGAGAAACAAAAUUUGACUCCAAUCAAAUCAACAAUUCAGCAGUCAGGGAGGUCAGACCCUUUAAGAAAAACUCAAGCUGAUAUUAAAGAGACAUUGAGAAAUCAAGCCCCAUGAACUAAAAACAACCUAUAGAGGGCACUAACAUCUUCAUACUGUUAAAUAUUCCAGAUCAAACAGGUACAAUUUCAAAACAUCCUAAUCAAAUUAGUUUUCAGUCACUAAGUUGUCAGUCUUCUUUUGAAAAACAAAUUUUACUGCAGCUAUUGUUAUAAUAAAUAUGUGAUAUGGUAAAAUGCACUAUUGAAGUUCUAUAUAGAACUUUAAAUGGUUCUUUCAGGCACUUCAUAUCAUGGGAUCAUCAAUUUAGAUCAUUUUAAUUCAAUUUUAAUUGUAAUUAAAUUAUGAAUUAAACAGCUUGUAAACAUACUUUAUCGCUAGAAAAAAAUGAAAUAACCGUUAAACAUGAAAGUAUUAUGCAAUCAUUUAAGAAAUUUCUCCUUAUAUAGAACCUCUUUGGCAUAAAGUGUUCUUUAAAAUUGAGUCAAGAACCUUAGGGUUCUAUAUAGAACCCCAUUGAAACUUUUUUCCCCUAAGAGUGUGGUAUUAGCGUUCAUGGGUGUCAAAAUAAAUUAAAAUGACAAAGCUUUUGAAAAUUAGAAGAAGAUGCCCUAUUAUUAUUUAUUUAUUAUAAUUUUGCAGUUUAAGAAUGUAUAUAAUAACAAUAAAAUAAAAAUGAAAUGGAUAUAUGUACAUUAUAGUCUCAAAAAAUAUAUAAAAGGAACAGGAACAUGUUGCACACAUGCAAAUGCAAAGUUAACUUGCUAAUGAGAAAUUUUAAUGGUCAUAAAUAUUUAUAUUAUUAAAUAAUUAUAUUUAAAUUUCAAUAUUUAUAUUACACAUGUCAAAUGCAAUAUAAAUUAGGGGUGUGACGAGAUCUCGUGCCACGAUCUUGCGAUAUUAAAAUGUGACGAGAUUUCUCAUCGAGGUGAAAAGCUGUCUCGUAAUAUCACCAUGAUGGACAAUGAGGAUGAAAUUAGCAUAGAAUAUGCCACUGCUGUCGUUUUGAUUUUUUUUAUAGAAAUAAAAAACAUUUAAUUCAGUUGUACAACGCUCGCUUCAAUUGUAAACUAUUGUAAAUGUUUGCUCUGCUCAUCCAGCACGAGCUGCAAAGUCGCACACAGUGCAGCAGGAAUCAGAGUUCACUGAUCAUGCAACGAGAGAUUUGUUGCACAACAGAGCCUAAGCGUCUGAUAAAUGUCUUAUCUUGUAGAAUGAAUGCUCAGCACUGCCGCUCCCUAUACACAGAGUUUGCGCGAUUGCGAAUUCGAUUUGCGAAAGUAAAACGCAAACUCCCUGAUAUGUGCAAAUUAGGCUACAUACAAUAGCCUGUCUCCCAAUAUCAAACCUAUCUUAGGCUGGGCUGUGUAGUUGUAACCAUCUCUUAGCUCUGGUCUCUUAUUAGGUUUUUACAGCAGAAAAAAAAAACAACAAAAAAAGUAAAAAUACUAAAAUGGGUAUAUAACCAUCUCAAAUAAAAAAUAAAGAUAAAAAAAGAAAAUGACAGUUUUCUUUGCA